CGUGCAGGCGGUCAGGUUAGUGGGAUGUGAAAUGCCCCGGCUCACCCGGGGACCGGCAUCCCAAACUGCCUGGCUUGAGUAUGGGAGAGGAUGAGGGAAUUCCUGGUGUAGCGGUGAAAUGCGUAGAUAUCAGGAGGAACACCGGUGGCGAAGGCGCUCAUCUGGCCCAAUACUGACGCUGAGGCGCGAAAGCUAGGGGAGCAAACGGGAUUAGAUACCCCGGUAGUCCUAGCCGUAAACGGUGAUCACUAGGUGUUGGAGGCAUCGACCCCUCCAGUGCCGCAGCUAACGCAUUAAGUGAUCCGCCUGGGGAGUACGGCCGCAAGGUUGAA
rnacentral:rRNA from 1 species